rnacentral:rRNA from 1 species
UACGUAGGGUGCAAGCGUUGUCCGGAAUUAUUGGGCGUAAAGAGCUCGUAGGCGGUCUGUCGCGUCGGCUGUGAAAUCCCGGAGCUCAACUCCGGGUCUGCAGUCGAUACGGGCAAACUGGAGUACUGCAGGGGAGACUGGAAUUCCUGGUGUAGCGGUGAAAAUGCGCAGAUAUCAGGAGGAACACCGGUGGCGAAGGCGGGUCUCUGGGCAGUAACUGACGCUGAGGAGCGAAAAGCGUGGGGGAGCGAACAGG